GUUUUGUGUUUUAGGCGGCGCAAAAGUCCGCAAUUACAUUCUUCAAAACUGGAGUUUGUAUGCGGCUUCGAGGGUCUGGCGCGAACCAGUCCCCCUCUGCCGUGAAGGUUCACAGUGGGUUUGUGAGGUUUGAACAGGGGCGGCCACCCGCUGCACGGCCCGUCUGGACCGGAGCAGGGCAAACCGCACCCCGUCAGAGAUACGUUAAUGAUCCUUCCGCAGGUUCACCUACGGAAA
rnacentral:misc_RNA from 1 species